rnacentral:lncRNA from 1 species
GAGAUUCCUAAGGUCAUACAACCAGUAAGUGACACAGCCAGGAGUUGAACCCUGGAAUCUGAGUCCAGAAUCUGCCCAUAACCAUUCUUGCAUUGUCCACCGUGAGUGUUGUAUAUAGGCACUGAAGAAUUUACAUUUUGAUGAAGAAUCCUGCCACGUGUACAAGCUGUGCACCCUUGAGGAUGGAUUGCACAGUUCGUGUGGCCUGUGGCUCUUGCUCUCAUUUGUCUGCAUGGCAGAUCCUGCACGGGAAUGAGCCAGCUGAAGAUGUGGACCAGUCCUAGAUUCAGUGGGCCAAGAAUUCAGGCAGCGCUCAUUUGGGUCCGGUGUCAUGGUGUCGGCUGGAGGCUCCAGUGUCUCAAGCUCACUCGGGCCAGAAUCUACUUUGCAACCCGAUGUAGUUGUUGGCAGGACUUAUUUCUCG